ACUCCUACGGGAGGCAGCAGUGGGAAUAUUGCACAAUGGGCGCAAGCCUGAUGCAGCCAUGCCGCGUGUAUGAAGAAGGCCUUCGGGUUGUAAAGUACUUUCAGCAGUGAGGAAGGCGGGUACGUUAAUAGCCGUGCUCGUUUGACGUUAGCUGCAGAAGAAGCACCGGCUAACUCCGUGCCAGCAGCCGCGGUAAUACGGAGGGUGCGAGCGUUAAUCGGAAAUUACUGGGCGUAAAGCGCAUGCAGGUGGUUUGUUAAGUCAGAUGUGAAAGCCCGGGGCUCAACCUCGGAAUAGCAUUUGAAACUGGCAGACUAGAGUACUGUAGAGGGGGUA
rnacentral:rRNA from 1 species